rnacentral:rRNA from 1 species
UACGGGGGGAGCAAGCGUUGUUCGGAUUUACUGGGCGUAAAGGGCGCGUAGGCGGCCACCGCAAGUCAGUUGUGAAAUCUCUGGGCUUAACCCAGAAAGGUCAACUGAUACUGCGGGGCUAGAGUGCAGAAGGGGCAACUGGAAUUCUCGGUGUAGCGGUGAAAUGCGUAGAUAUCGAGAGGAACACCUGCGGCGAAAGCGGCUUCCUGGUCCAGCACCGACGUUCAGGCACGAAAGCGUGGGGAGCAAACAGG